rnacentral:rRNA from 1 species
GACGAACCGUGCAAACGUUGUUCGGAAUCACUGGGCUUAAAGGGCGCGUAGGCGGGCAAGCAAGUCGAAGGUGAAAUCCCACGGCUCAACCGUGGAAGUGCCCCCGAUACUGCUUGUCUUGAGGGAGAUAGGGGCGUGCGGAACUUCCGGUGAAGCGGUGAAAUGCGUAGAUAUCGGAAGGAACACCGGUGGCGAAAGCGGCGCGCUGGAUCUCUUCUGACGCUGAGGCGCGAAAGCCAGGGGAGCAAACGGG